UGUCAUAUUUCUUGCUCGUUGAACAAGCACAGACGUUGACGAAAGAUCGUAUCUGGGUACCGAAAUUCUUGGGCGAAUUUAAAUAAAAUAAAUGUGUGGACCAGAAGAGAAAUAUGUACAUUAUACAUCGUAGUAUAAGUGACGUAAAGAAAGACAAAUAUUCGCAAGGGUGUUUCGUUUAGAUACGAACGCAUUACGAAAGGGGAAAAGUCGUUUAAAUAGUUAGAUGAGGUAGAUGAGCAAACUGAUGAAACCCAGAUGAAAUAUCUUUCCCUGACGAAACUUAUGUACCUACAUAGGAAUAAACGAUAUUUACGUAAGAAGCACGCACCCAGGGAUUAUGACGCUUAGCGGCACUCUUGCUCUGUAAGCAAUGGCACAAGAAUGUUCCCUUGUGGAUGAACUGAGCUUUAGUAUCCUCU